rnacentral:lncRNA from 1 species
UCUUUACAGUUCUCAUCAUUUCUUUAUAACUCUCCGAGUCUUCCUUCUGUUCAGCGCAGGUAUCAAUAAAAACAUACCACAAUUAGGGUUUCUGGCAGUUGCAGAACCCGAUUUCUGAGAUUUAGGUCUAGGCUUGGUCUUCCUAUUUACUCAACUUCAACAUCAUCUUCUCUUCUCUCAUCCCAACUUUAAUAUACAAGGCUUUAUCAUUCCCAUAUAUCUUUCCUUCUUUUUAUUUUUUAUUUUAUUUUAUUUCAUGCGGGAACC